rnacentral:rRNA from 1 species
CCCUUAGAUGUUCUGGGCUGCACGCGUGCUACACUGAUUAUUUCAACAAGUGUUUUAACUGGAGAGUUUGCGUAAUCCUGAAAUGUUAUCGUGAUGGGAGUAGAGUAUUGUAUUUGUUAAUCUUUAACGAGGAAUUCCUAGUAAGUGUAGGUUUAUAAGUUGUUCUGAUUACGUCCCUGCCCUUUGUACACACCGCCCGUCGCUCCUACCGAUUGAAUGUGUUGGUGAGGAGCUCGGAUUGGCAGCAGUUGGUGGUUCGCCACCGGCUAUUGCUGAGAAGUCCUCCAAACCGCCCCAUUUAGAGGAAGGAGAAGUCGUAACA